GACGAACCGUCCGAACGUUAUUCGGAAUUACUGGGCUUAAAGCGCGUGUAGGCGGGUCGACAAGUCCGACGCUGAAAUCGCCCGGCCCAACCGGGGAAGGGGCCCGUAUACGGUCGACCUGGAGGGGGGUAGGGGGGCCUGGAACUUCCGGUGGAGCGGUGAAAUGCGUUGAGAUCGGAAGGAACGCCCGUGGCGAAAGCGAGGCCCUGGACCCCAUCUGACGCUGAGACGCGAAAGCCAGGGGAGCGAACGGG
rnacentral:rRNA from 1 species